AUUGAACGCUGGCGGCAUGCUUUACACAUGCAAGUCGAACGGUAACAGGGAGCUUGCUCCGCUGACGAGUGGCGAACGGGUGAGUAAUGCGUCGGAACGUGCCGAGUAGUGGGGGAUAACGCAGCGAAAGUUGUGCUAAUACCGCAUACGUACUGAGGUAGAAAGUGGGGGACCUUCGGGCCUCACGCUAUUCGAGUGGCCGACGUCUGAUUAGCCAGUAGGUGAGGUAAAGGCUCACCUAGGCGACGAUCAGUAGCGGGUCUGAGAGGAUGAUCCGCCACACUGGGACUGAGACACGGCCCAGACUCCUACGGGAGGCAGCAGUGGGGAAUUUUGGACAAUGGGCGAAAGCCUGAUCCAGCCAUGCCGCGUGUCUGAAGAAGGCCUUCGGGUUGUAAAGGACUUUUGUCGGGGAGGAAAUCCCCAGCGCUAAUACCGCUGGGGGAUGACAGUACCUGAAGAAUAAGCACCGGCUAACUACGUGCCAGCCGCCGCGGUAACAC
rnacentral:rRNA from 1 species